rnacentral:rRNA from 1 species
GACGAACGCUGGCGGCGUGCUUAACACAUGCAAGUCGAACGGAAAGGCCCUGCUUUUGUGGGGUGCUCGAGUGGCGAACGGGUGAGUAACACGUGAGUAACCUGCCCUUGUCUUUGGGAUAACUUCAGGAAACUGGGGCUAAUACCGGAUAGGAGCUCCUGCUGCAUGGUGGGGUUGGGAAAGUUUCGGCGGUUGGGGAUGGACUCGCGGCUUAUCAGCUUGUUGGUGGGGUAGUGGCUUACCAAGGCUUUGACGGGUAGCCGGCCUGAGAGGGUGACCGGCCACAUUGGGACUGAGAUACGGCCCAGACUCCUACGGGAGGCAGCAGUGGGGAAUAUUGCACAAUGGGCGGAAGCCUGAUGCAGCAACGCCGCGUGCGGGAUGACGGCCUUCGGGUUGUAAACCGCUUUCGCCUGUGACGAAGCGUGAGUGACGGUAAUGGGUAAAGAAGCACCGGCUAACUACGUG